ACGGGCCAGAGGGCGGCUAACGGUGCUUACGAAAAGCACCGAGGAAAUUCCACCCAUCAUGUGGGACCCGAGCGCCGCGAGGCGCAGGCUGAGAGGCCUGGCUCUGGAGCAGAAACCCUUACUGGGGCUGCAAACGACACGUCCACCUACGAGAUGACGAUGAGGCGGCUGAGGGCUUCCCGAGAAGGCGCUUGGCAACAAGCGCUGAGAUAACCCGUUGAGGACGUAGGUGGGACCGUUGAAACGGCCAUCCUCGGGGAUGCAAGCCCGAAUAGGCUGCCGAUGACUCUCCCACGGGAGGCGGCGGGUAGGGCGCAUAGCCGAAUGCCGCCAGGGAGUCGCCGGCGACGGCGCCUCCUCAACAGAAGGUGGAUUACUCCUGGCACGU
rnacentral:RNase_P_RNA from 1 species